rnacentral:rRNA from 1 species
AUUGAACGCUGGCGGCAGGCCUAACACAUGCAAGUCGAGCGAGCGGCGGACGGGUGAGUAAUGUAUGGGGACUGCCCGAUAGCGGGGGAUAACUACUGGAAACGGUGUCUAAUACCGCAUAAUCUCGGAUGACCCAUAAGGGAUUAGCUAGUAGGUGGGGUAAAGGCUCACCUAGGCGACGAUCUCUAGCUGGUCAGAGAGGAUGAUCAGCCACACUGGGACUGAGACACGGACCAGACUCCUACGGAGGCAGCAGUGGGGAAUAUUUCACAAUGGGCGCAAGCCUGAUACAGCCAUGCCGCGUGUAUGAAGAAGGCCUUAGGGUUGUAAAGUACUUUCAGCGGGGAGGCGGUACCCGCAGAAGAAUCACCGGCGAACUCCGUGCCAGCAGCCGCGGUAAUUC